UUUAUAACAUAUUGAUUUACAGUAUAGUGAUAUUUAUAUGCUGUGCACGUUUAAACAGACCAAAACUUUUCUCUCAGAAGACAUUUCCUUUGACUCGCGGUGCAGACAUAGAGGUUUUAACAGAGAGAACACUGAAAGUAAGUGUUUAGUCUCAUUAACAUAUGUAUUUUAUGACGCCAUAUUAUUUUAUAAUGAUAUUUUUCUGCUGUGCACUGAGAAGACUGAGAUGGUGUUACUUUUUGGAAAACACCAGAAGGAGAUAUUUGCUUUGAUUCACGAUGCGGAGCAGGCAAAGAGGUUACAAUUAUCAACAAGAGAACUAAAAUGGUUCAUCCUGGAAUAACUUAAAAAUCAAAAGAAAAUUUGGUUGAGCGUAAAAUCAUCAGUACAUUGUCAAGUUUGAUGAAAAGAGCUCUUGUUAACAUUUUUAGGACCCAUACAACAGACAUGGGUAAGCCACAUUUCCAUAUUUGAGAUUAUUGAUUGUCAUGCAUAACUUUUUGAUCAUUAAUAUUUGUUCUUGUUAACAUUUUUAGGUACCCAUACAACAGACAUGGGUAAGCCACAUUUCCAUAUUUGAGAUUAUUGAUUGUCAUGCAUAACUUUUUGAUCAUUAAUAUUUGUUAUUUGCCUAAAAAUAAUUAGACGUCUGGACUCUUUUUUAGUAGGUCUGCCCUCGACUAAAGAUUUUCUAAAUUUUUUUUUUUUGGCAGCCCCCAUUUUUUACAAUUUCACUACCCCAAUAGGUUGAUGCAGGAGAAAAUUAACAAAGUAUCAGGGAACAUCUGCGUGUAAUGAAGGAGUAAACAGAGAAGCUUAGACCAAACCUAGAGCUCCUCAAAGAAAGGAUGGGGCUGAUAAAAUGCUAUCGGACAAAUUUUGUGUCCAAAUAUAGCACAAAGGAGACUCUCUGAGUUCCUGUGUUUCGUACUGGCCAAAAUGCUCAGAACACAAUCCCUCAAGGAUUUUGCUAUAGCUGAAUUUAUUGCAAAAUCAAGCAAACUCUGCAAUUUUCUAAAAAAAGACAUUUUCGUAAUUGCCGCAAAUUUUCUGCAGAAUUUGGGCUUAGACGUGUCCUGUGACGUCAUCGCAAUGCGCAUUCAGUCAAUGAAAGGUUGUUUCUCAGUUCCAAAAAUGGAAUGAACAGCCUUGCGUUCUCAUCAUGGCCGAUUUACAAGAGCUACAUUGGAUAAACGAACUGAAAGCAGAACAAACCCGUGCUACUAUAGUUUGGGCUACACAGCGCAGACCAUUUAUCUGCUUGAGCCGGAGCCGUGGGCUGAUCUCGAUCACACGACACUGAUAUACACAGCGCUGGGUAGGCAUGGGCCAAUUACCGGUUUCAAGGUAUACCGCGAUUUGAAAAUGUCACGGUUUCAAAACGACUAAUAUUUUCCAUGAUACCAUUCCUGCGGUAUGCGCUGUUUUCCAUGUCUCCUCAAUGACUGAAAGAGUAGGAAUCCCUCAGACUGAGUGCAGUGUAGAGGGUAACACUGACCCCUCCUCCUCCGUGUGUGUAGGAUGGCCGAACUUAAGGAGCUGACCCCGGAACUUAAGGCCCGGGUACACUUCACAUUCAGCGUUCCUUUCCUUCUUGCGCACAGCUUUCAAAAGUAUACUCAACCGCAGAUGAGAGUGGACGGAUGAGCUUGACACAUGCGCAGUACCACGGGGUGUAUGGCUGUCCGCGAGCCCUCUUGAUGAUGAAAAUAACAUAAUGCUGACAGUGCACGGACGGCCGAAUAAUUUGGCCUUUAUGCGAUCGGCAACCGGCCAGUUUUUGCCUUAUUGCAAACCUCUGUUCUGGACUAAUUUUCCAAAAUGUAAUCUAUGUGAAAAUAUGAAGUUUGUUAAUGCCCGUUAACACAGGCCAGAGACGCUGAAGACGGACACACAGAGAAAAAUACUGUAGCAGGCAGAUCACUCACUGUUCAUGAUGCACGAACUAUUGGAAUAAAAUCCUCAAUAUUGAUUUGGGAUUUAUAUGAAUGUGUUUCUGAUGGUACCUGACUGUCUUACUGAAAAGUUUACGUGGUAUUUUCUUUUCAUCUCGUCUCUGUAUAGUUCAUAUUAAACCAGUGUUUCAGCGCAGCAGCUUUGUUUACAGUGGUAACCAAGGAAAUGCUGUAUCUUUUCUGUAUCUGGUGUUCCAGAGGCACCUCCUGCUGUCAGAGAGUGAAUAUGCAUCUCAUUCAGAGCUUCUGCUGUUUGUUUCGUUCAGGCAUGUAGUAUAAUUUCACAAAGCUUGAGGGAAACAUUCUGCUUUUGCUUCAAAUUGGGUUAUUAUUAAAUCAGAUUUUGUGUAUGAUUAUUAUUGUAUAACUAAAUGAUAUGAAAUGAUAUAAAUUAUAUGUAUAUGAAUUAUAUAACUAAAAUUAAAUAACUGUAAUUACAGUUUUAGGUUAAAUAAAGAUGUCAGUCUUUAUUUUUCUUUUUAGGAAACAAAUCAAAGAAAAAAUAGACUAAUUCUGCUGUUUCUAAUAUUCUUUAUGUUCCUCAAAAACAAAAUAUAUUGUAUCCAGCGGAAAAAAAAAAAAAAAAAAUUUUUACCCAGUCAUUUAAAAAUAACAACAAUACCGUGAUACCGUGAAACUGUGAUAUUUUUGCUUAUACUGUCAAAAUCUCAUACCGGCCCAUGCCUAGCGCUGGGAGAUACAGUGAAGAAAGCAUUCAAAUUCGCCACAGAAUCAACAUCUCUGUUAAAUCUUGUGAGAAGCAUUCAAAUUCGGCGCAGAAUUCUGUUAAAGCUGAUAUCAGUACAAACGCCACUGAUGUGGAAACCAGGAAAAACAUUGUUCAGUAAACACAAAUAACCACCACCGUUCACCAUGGAUUUAACAGUAAAACUACAGGAACAACUUGUGGCAGAAAUGGUCUAAUGUUUUCGAGUGUUUUUAAAUGCUUGACACAACUUUUCCCAGCACUUCAAAGCUUUAAGUAUUACCGAAUUUGAAAGUUAUUUUAAUGUGAUGAUAUUUGUUCAUCCUUCAUAGGUUUCCCCCCUGUAUAAACUAAAGU
rnacentral:lncRNA from 1 species